GGGAGCCUGACUCUCGAGGACAGCAUUUUUAUGUCAUGUGGCAUUUAAGUGUAAAUAUGGAGUUUAUUACUGACGAUCCGCCGUGAACAGGCUCACCUGUCCCACUUGACAUUAACUGGCACCAUGAGGAGGUCUGGUGAAAAGGUCGAAGCAAUCUGCAGAACGAGAGGCUGAGAGGACACACGGGUGCAGAGAAAAGUUGAACAGGGUCUUAACAUUCUGCAAAACGGGACUAUGAGACCACACGGCUGUGGAAAAGAGUUGAACAGAUCAAAUCAACGGGGAUGCGGACACAUCAGCUUGGGUCAGAUGCCACUGUAUAUUAAAUGCAGUAGAUUUGUUAAUUUGAGCUAAAACAUGUUUAAUAAAAUUAUGAUGUGUAUUAAAAAAUCAAGCAUAAUGGCACAUUUUAACUAUUCUGUACAUGAAAAGUAACCCAAAUCUUACUGGGAGCACCCAGCAUGUUUUGGUCAAUCUGUGUUGAAAGUGGAUCUGUAAGAUUUCUUCUUCAAAUUCUCCAAGAAGGUCUGCUGUUCUUCGAGGUAUUCACGAUCCUGCGGGAGGGAAGGGAAAGUAAUUAGGAACAGGAACCGAUACUGAAAUGUUUCAAGACAGUGGUCUUAAGUGUUAUGCAUCUUGUUUGAUGGAUGCUGUCAUUGUAAUGUAAUAAGCCUGUUUCACUUUGAUACUUACAUUAAAAACCUUUACAGUAA